UGGGGAAUAUUGCACAAUGGGCGCAAGCCUGAUGCAGCCAUGCCGCGUGUGUGAAGAAGGCCUUCGGGUUGUAAAGCACUUUCAGCGAGGAGGAAGGGUAGUGUGUUAAUAGCACAUUGCAUUGACGUUACUCGCAGAAGAAGCACCGGCUAACUCCGUGCCAGCAGCCGCGGUAAUACGGAGGGUGCAAGCGUUAAUCGGAAUUACUGGGCGUAAAGCGCACGCAGGCGGUUUGUUAAGUCAGAUGUGAAAUCCCCGCGCUUAACGUGGGAACUGCAUUUGAAACUGGCGAGCUAGAGUCUUGUAGAGGGGGGUAGAAUUCCAGGUGUAGCGGUGAAAUGCGUAGAGAUCUGGAGGAAUACCGGUGGCGAAGGCGGCCCCCUGGACAAAGACUGACGCUCAGGUGCGAAAGCGUGGGGAGCAAACA
rnacentral:rRNA from 1 species